rnacentral:rRNA from 1 species
ACGAUGAUCACUCGUUUUAGGCUACUUAGUAGUCAUUGACCAAGUGAAUCUGAUAAGUGAUCCACUUGGGGAGUACGUCGUCAACGAUUAAACUCAAAGGAAUUGACGGGGGCCCGCACAAGCGGAGGAACAUGUGGUUUAAUUCGAUGAUACGUGAGGACUCUUACCUGGGCUUAAAUGCUGUCUGCAUUGGAGGGAAACCUUCAUGUCCUACGGGACCGCCAGCAAGGUGCUGCAUGGUUGUCGUCAGCUCGUGCCGUGAGGUGUCGGGUUAAGUCCCAUAACGAGCGCAACCCCUAUCGCUAGUUGCCAGCAUGUAAUGGUGGCGACUCUAGCGAGACUGCCGGUGUAAACCGGAGGAAGGUGCGCAUGACGUCAAAUCAGCACGGCCCUUACGUCCAGGGCUACACACGUGUUACAAUGGCCGGUACAAAGAGCAGCCACCUGGCGACAGGGCGCUAAUCUCUAAAACCGUUCUCAGUUCGGAUCGAAGUCUGCAAUUCGACUUCGUGAAGCUCGAUUCGCUAGUAAUCGCGCAUCAGCCAUGGCGCGCUCCUCAGUUCCCGGGCCUGUACACACCGCCCGUCAAGCCA